rnacentral:tRNA from 1 species
GGGCCUGUGGUCUAGCGGUUAUGACAUCGCCUCGACACGGCGAAGAUCACCAGUUCGAAUCUGGUCAGGCCCA